rnacentral:lncRNA from 1 species
UCUGGUCUUUCGGAUCGAAUCCAAAUUUGUACCAGUUAUAGGUGUGAUUGUGAAGAACACACAGUUAAAGAAUGAUACUUGUUCUGCAAUCCGUUCAAGAGUUAUGAAUUUUUUAAUUUCGUUUUGUUCCUAUGCCUUUAGUACGCGCGCACCAUCCCUCCUCACCAUCCCUCCCUCCCUCCGCCGGGAAAGGGAGAGCGUGCAUCAAAGGCACAGGGAAUAAAAACGAAAUUUAAAAAUUCAUAACUCUUAAACAAAUUGCGGAACAAGUUUUAUUCUUCGGCCAGAUGUUGUUCAUACUACCACCUAUAACUGGUACAAAUUUGGGUUCGAUCCGAAAAACCAGAUUUGAUCAGCUGACUAUUUAAAAAACAAAUCUUUGAAGAGAUUGCUCCAUAAAGACAAAAUCUGUUUUCCGUUACAAAUACUGAAAUACAUCAUUAGAAAGAGAAAACAAAUCUCUUUUUUAUCGUUGUGUAAUGACUCGCCCCAUCUCCCAUAUGUUCUUUCUAAGUCUAAGCAACCGUGAGGUUGCUUGACUCUUCUUCACGCUUCCCCAAAUAGGAAAGCUGGUGAAUGUCCCCCAACACCUCGUUGGUGUUGGCCGUGACGAACCAGUGGACCGAACAUCCCUCCUUUGUUAUUCUCUAGUGGACCAUAACUAUUGUUUGUAUUGCAUAUGUUUCCCUGAGUUUCUCUUUGUCUUCCCCAGUAUAAAAGCCCGACGCCUGCCUAAUCCCGGCAGAUCGUCACAGGCAGCUGUAUCUGCAACACCAAGGGACGACAAGACCGUUUCACCUCUUUGCUUUCUCCAUCUCCACCUGGGUAUGUCCCCUCAACAUUUUUUCAAAAUAUGUAUGCCACCUCCCAUUCGCCUACGUAACGAGGAGGAGUAUCGCCGCCAUCGCCGCGAACUAAUUGGGCAGUACAACCGCGAUGUCAUGGACUUGUACUAUAAGUAUGAGUUCCAUGCCCAGGAGCUUAAGAGAGCAAGACGCCACUACAAUAAUAAUAAAACUAUUCAAUCAUUUCAAAAUGUAAGCAAUUAGUAUGUUAACUGUACCUGUACUCUACUUACCUGUACCCGUACCGUAACGAUAAAAGGAGAUGGUUUUCUUAUACUUUAUGUUUACCCCUACAAAAAUAUACAACCACUUAGAUUAGCAGCAUUUAAAAAACUGAUUUGAAAAAUGUGCUUACUUCUAUAUCCUUCCCCUCCCCCCAACUACAGAAAUUCACCGGGAAGGGGAGUGUAAUGACUCGCCCCAUCUCCCAUAUAUUCUUUCUAAGUCUAAGCAACCGUGAGGUCGCUUGACUCUUCUUCACGCUUCCCCAAAUAGGAAAGCUGUUGAAUGUCCCCCAACACCUCGUUGGUGUUGGCCUGACGAACCAGUGGACCGAACAUCCCUCCUUUGUUAUUCUCUAGUGGACCAUAACUAUUGUUUGUAUUGCAUAUGUUUCCCUGAGUUUCUCUUUGUCUUCCCCAGUAAAAAAGCCCGAUGCCUGCCUGAUCCCGGCAGAUCGUCACCGGCAGCUGUAUCCGCAACACCAAGGGAAAUACAAAAGUUACAAGUC